AGAGGCAUUUUGCUAAAGAAAUUCAUACCUACAAGUGUUGUGAAAAAAAAAAAAAAAGAAGAAGAAGAAAAGAUACGAUGAUGCCCUAGGUCUAUCCACCUCAUUACUCAAGACUAGUGGAUAAUUCUGGUCUUUGCUGUGCUUUGUGUUAGCCCAAAGUGAGGAGGACGAGUGUCGUUGUUAAGGUGUAAGCACUCCCUGAGAUUUCUAGGGAGCCCACUGCUUACGUCUCUCCAGCUAUGGCUGUGGUUUUUUGGCCAUGUCAGGAUGAGGUCUCGGAUGUGCAAUGCCAGAGGCUGGAAGUGGUGGUGUCGAGGAGGGAGGGGUUCAUUUGCAAGCAAGCCCAAAAAGCUUUGCAGUGUGUUCAAGUUUCCCUUCCUGGUGCACACACUGGCUUGCGUCAGCGUGUGAGUCAACAAGCAGGUGGUAUGGGCUUUCAGGGAGCUGGGGCUGGAGCAGGAGGACCAGCCGUGAGCCUGUAUACACCACACACCUCUGUUCCCUCCUGCCAGGUGGGGACGAUAACGCUGCUGCGCUGCGGGUCUGACGGCACCUGAAUGAAAGCUGCUGAAGUACGCCCAGCUCCCUGCGUGGAAAGCCGAGUCCUGCUGUUCCUGAUGGAAUCUUCCUGCCACUGCCAGAAUCUUUUCAAGAGCAAUUUCUCCAAGGCCUGAAUCCGUGCCCAUUGAAAGCAAAGGGAAAGAUUCCUAUUGAUGGCAGCAGGCCCAAAUAAGCCAGAGGUCCAGGCUGUCUUUGCCAGAAAAUUUUGUUUAUGUGCAUUUUGAUGACUUCUAAAGCUUCUCUUUUGUAGUUGACUUUCUUAUGGAGCUUACUUUCCAGCGAAUUUUUUCCAGACAUUUCACAUACUGUAUAAAGUGGGGUUGACAUGUUUCUGUUCCUGAUUCAGCACAGAAGAUCAUUUUAUCAGAUUAAUUUUUUAGAGACCUGCUUUAGGCAGGGUGCACUGUGAAGUACAUGCAAUAUUAAAACAUUCUGCUGUC